UUGAACGCUGGCGGCAUGCUUUACACAUGCAAGUCGAACGGCAGCACGGGGGCAACCCUGGUGGCGAGUGGCGAACGGGUGAGUAAUGCAUCGGAACGUACCGUGUAAUGGGGGAUAACGAGUCGAAAGACUUGCUAAUACCGCAUACGCCCUGAGGGGGAAAGUGGGGGAUCGCAAGACCUCACGUUAUACGAGCGGCCGAUGCCGGAUUAGCUAGUUGGUAGGGUAAAGGCCUACCAAGGCGACGAUCCGUAGCUGGUCUGAGAGGACGACCAGCCACACUGGGACUGAGACACGGCCCAGACUCCUACGGGAGGCAGCAGUGGGGAAUUUUGGACAAUGGGGGCAACCCUGAUCCAGCCAUGCCGCGUGAGUGAAGAAGGCCUUCGGGUUGUAAAGCUCUUUCGGCCGGGACGAAAUCGCUACUUCUAAUACGAGUAGUGGAUGACGGUACCGGAAUAAGAAGCACCGGCUAACUACGU
rnacentral:rRNA from 1 species